rnacentral:lncRNA from 1 species
AUGUUGUUUUUCGGGUCGACGAUAGGGCUUCUAGUCUCGUUCACUUUCACGACAUGCGUUUCCGUUCAGUUCCCGGCCGACGAGGCCCUGGAAUCUUCCAACAGCUCAGCCCGCUCGAAGCAGGAGCGACAGUCCAAGGCCUUGCACAGCUACCUGGUCACGUCGCGGCCCUACCAGCUCAUCAACACCUCCACCCCCGCCACGGAGCCGAAAUGGCGGCGCGAGCUCUACAUAACGACGACGCUGGGCGCGGGCACCAACAGCUAUGAGCCCUCCGCCGCCAGCUUCUCGGACUGCUCGUCCAACUCUCAGUCGUGCCAAAACCUCAAGCAAGAGGACAGCCCCACGUUCCGCCCUUACUCGCAGGCCGAGCUGGACAAGAUCCUUCGGGAGUACCGCGAGAAGAACAAAACCGAGCACCACUCCAAGCUCAACUCCAUAGAGCCCCUCUACGGGGCGGCUUCAAACAUAAUCGCCUCCACGAGCAGUUCCGUGGACACGAUCCUCCACGACAAGUCCAAGUCGUACCACCACUCGUCGAACCAGCACAAGAACCCUUACGACGACCGCCAGGGGUGGGUCACCCUCGAGCCGGUGGCCUGGUCCUCGAGCCAGGUCCAGAAGUGGGAGCCGAACCCGAACCGACCCACGUGGCCGGUGCCCUCCGAGGUGGCCCAGUGGAGCGGGCCGCCCUCCACGCCGCAGUACGGGGCGCCCUCGCCGGAGCACAGCCCCUGGACGACGGAUCGACCCUGGAAGCCGCCCUCCUACCAGUACGGCUCCGGAGGUCGGCCGCCGGUCGUCCAGUCUCACUACACGCCCAUCUCCUCCGGGCAUCUCCAGUUCGCCUCGAGCAACAACAACUACGGGCCCCCGCACGGCGGCGGAGGGUGGGGCGGCGGCUCCAGCCACCCCGACAUCAUCACCGACGGCCGACCGGACUUCCCGCCCGACGAGCCCUCCUCCGGCCACAAGCCGUGGGGCGGCUCCCAGUCCUACGGCCCGCCCAAGCCGCACACGCAGGUCGUCUACCAGGGCCCUAUCGGCGCUCACGAAAAGCCCUCCUACCCCUCUGAGAACGGCGAGGGCCACUGGGUCCUCCUGUCCAGCACCAAGGGCUACUCCAUCCCCCAACGGCACCGCAACAUGGCCCGCUCCAUCCGCUUCGACCCCUCCCAGGAAGAGGAGCCGAAGAGAGAGCGAGUCGCCUCCACGCGAAGUGUUCGACUGGAAGUCCUCCCGCCGCUCAACGGCUCCGAGACGAAAAUCACACAUGGAGGAAUCCUCGAGGUAGAGAAGACGCAUCAGACGGUUGACGAGGCGCACAGGGAGCACGUGGCGCGCUCGCUGAGGUUCGCGGUGCCAACGGGGAACGGAACGAUAGAGCGGGUGCCUCGACCUGGUGGACGGGCAGCCAAGGCGACUGCCAGGGCAGACCACGUCACGGACGCCCAUGGGCGAGACGUCCGGCUGGCCGCAGUGGGUGGUGGUGUCAUCCCUGCGACCAUGGCCAUGAUUCUCCCCGUUAUCCUGGCGCGAAAGAAGAGGGCGCCGCGCAGGACUAACCCCGACUUCACCGUCCUUCCCGCGGAAUACGUUUUCGACGGCGCCGACUUGAGGCCGCACAACCAAAGGAUUUUACACGUCUAUGAAUGA